rnacentral:rRNA from 1 species
GAUGAACGCUGGCGGCGUGCCUAAUACAUGCAAGUCGAGCGAACAGACGAGGAGCUUGCUCCUCUGACGUUAGCGGCGGACGGGUGAGUCACACGUGGAUAACCUACCUAUAAGACUGGGAUAACUUCGGGAAACCGGAGCUAAUACCGGAUAAUAUAUUGAACCGCAUGGUUCAAUAGUGAAAGACGGUUUUGCUGUCACUUGUAGAUGGAUCCGCGCCGCAUUAGCUAGUUGGUAAGGUAACGGCUUACCAAGGCAACGAUGCGUAGCCGACCUGAGAGGGUGAUCGGCCACACUGGAACUGAGACACGGUCCAGACUCCUACGGGAGGCAGCAGUAGGGAAUCUUCCGCAAUGGGCGAAAGCCUGACGGAGCAACGCCGCGUGAGUGAUGAGGGUCUUCGGAUCGUAAAACUCUGUUAUUAGGGAAGAACAAAUGUGUAAGUAACUAUGCACGUCUUGACGGUACCUAAUCAGAAAGCCACGGCUAACUACGUG